UACGGGGGGGGCAAGCGUUGUUCGGAAUUACUGGGCGUAAAGGGCUCGUAGGCGGCCAACUAAGUCAGACGUGAAAUCCCUCGGCUUAACCGGGGAACUGCGUCUGAUACUGGAUGGCUUGAGUGUGGGAGAGGAAUGCGGAAUUCCAGGUGUAGCGGUGAAAUGCGUAGAUAUCAGGAGGAACACCGAUGGCGAAGGCAGGUCUCUGGGCCACUACUGACGCUGAGAAGCGAAAGCAUGGGGAGCGAACAGG
rnacentral:rRNA from 1 species